AUGAGUCCUUUCAGGUCGCCUUUGAUCCAGGGGGGCCCAAAGUCCCCAGGGAGGCUCAUGCCAGGCUCCUGGGCUGCUCUGCUGCUGCUCAGGGGUCCUGGUGUGCUGCCCGUGCCCAGGGGUGUCUCUGGAGAGCAGGCAGGGCCGGGGGUCCCUUGCCGGGGGCAGUGGUGGGAUUGGAUCCCCCUGGAUCCAGCGCCAUCGAGCCCCACGCCCACCCCGGCCUCAGUCGCGCCUCUUGCCCUCCCUGGCCCUGCCGUCCCUGCCCGGCGCCGGCUCCCAGGGCCUCCUGCCCUUCUGCUGCUUCCAGUCCCGCCUCGGGCUCUCCCUCGGGCUCUCCCGGCCACCCUCAGCCCUGCCGGGACGGCCCCUCCACCCGUCCCUCCUGGACUCAUCCCUCUCCCGCCGUCUCUCCUUCCUCUCCUUCCUCUCCCGGUCUCGCUUCUUCUGGGGCUGCUGCUCGGCUUCCCUGGGGGCCCUGGGGGCUCUGCCAGGUUUGUCCCCCGCUGUCCUGUCCUUGGCUCGUGCCUCCCUCCGGCUGCUCCGCUCCACAUGGACAGCACGGCCUUCCCGGGCUUUCUCCUUCUUCCCCUCCUUCUUCUUCUCCUCCUUCUCCUCCUCCGCUUCCUCCUCCUUCUUCUCAUUCUCCUCCUCCUCCUCAUUCUCCUCUUUUUCUUUCUCCUUCUCCUCUUUUUCUUCCUCUUCCUCCUCCUCCUUCUCCACUUUCUUCUCCUGGCUCUUCUUCCCCUCCAUCACAGCCACUGGCACCUCGAGGACAGCUGCAGGUUCUUCAUCCUUGUCCUCAUCCUCAUCCUCAUCCUUAUCCUCAUCCUUGUCCUCAUCCUUGUCCUCAUCCUUGUCCCCAUUCUUGUCCUCAUCCUUGUCCUCAUCCUCUGGUGUUGCGCGGCCAAACCACUUCUUGAAGAUCCAGGGUUCUGCCUGUGGGGACAGAGGGGACCGGGAGCUGAUGGUGCAGCCCAGGGGACUGGGACCCCUGUCCAGCCCUGCCCUGGGGACAAGAUGCUCCCUGCCCCGGGAGGUGCCACCCUGACCCGUACCAGGUUGCUGUCAGCUUCGCUGUCAUCGUAA
rnacentral:lncRNA from 1 species